CAGCCCCAGCAGGGCGUGGGGCUGUGCUACCGCCGUGUGUUCUCCGUUUAUCAGCUACUUUUCUUCACCUCGCCCCGCUGUCGGGGCCGGGACGUGCGCGGGGCCGCUCAGAGGCGCCCAAGGGCAGCUGCGAGGACAGAGGGGCAGGGCCGGGCCGCGGUGCUCGUGUUGCCAUGGCAACGGAGGCGCCGGCUGAAGUGCGCGUGCUCAGCGCUCGCCGCCAUCUUGGCAGCCGUUGCUGCUGGACGGUGUAACGCCCCAAAGCUGCCCGCCUUCCUUAGGAAUGGUACUGAUGCGCGCCCAGUUUUGAUGACCUAGAAACCACACGACUGUGGCAACAAAACUUAAAAAGUGUGCUUUUGUUUGGUGGAAGGUUGGAUGUUUAAAUGGCCUCAGAAGGGCAAAGUGAGGAUGCUGAGCGUCUAUCUGAGCUUCCCACAGCUCCUAUUGGGAGUAACAGCACAUUUCGAUGGGGAGAUAUACUUGCUGCAGUGAAAGAUCAGCUCCCAUCUCUGGACUCUGACACUUCUACAUCUGACUGUGAGAGUGAUGGGGAGCUUUUCAUCUUCCAGCGAGAGCAACCCAACUUAAUUCCUGACCUGUCAGAGGAGCUACUGGAAUUUUCCCUGGAAGACUCAAACAUGUAG